UGGGCGAAAGCCUGAACCAGCCAUGCCGCGUGCAGGAUGACAGUCCUACGGAUUGUAAACUGCUUUUCUGCAAGAAGAAAUGUUCCGACGUGUCGGGAUUUGACGGUAUUGCAGGAAUAAGCAUCGGCUAACUCCGUGCCAGCAGCCGCGGUAAUACGGAGGAUGCAAGCGUUAUCCGGAUUCAUUGGGUUUAAAGGGUGCGUAGGCGGAUUAGAUAGUCAAAGGUGAAAGCCUGCAGCUUAACUGUAGAAGUGCCUUUGAUACUGCUAAUCUUGAGUACAGUUGAGGCGAGUGGAAUGUGUAGUGUAGCGGUGAAAUGCAUAGAUACUACACAGAACACCAAUUGCGAAGGCAGCUCGCUAAGCUGUUACUGACGCUCAGGCACGAAAGCGUGGGGAGCGAACAGGAUUAGAUACCCUGGUAGUCCACGCUGUAAACUAUGAUCACUAGCUGUUGGCGAUAAAUUGUCAGUGGCUCAGCGAAAGCGUUAAGUGAUCCACCUGGGGAGUACGAUCGCAAGGUUGAAACUCAAAGGAAUUGACGGGGGCCCGCACAAGCGGUGGAACAUGUGGUUUAAUUCGAUGAUACGCGAGGAACCUUACCUGGGCUUAAAUGUAGCGCGACGUCUCGAGAAAUCGGGAUUCCCUUCGGGGCGAACUACAAGGUGCUGCAUGGUUGUCGUCAGCUCGUGCCGUGAGGUAUCGGGUUAAGUCCCAUAACGAGCGCAACCCUUAUUGUUAGUUGCCAGCGGAUAAUGCCGGGGACUCUAACAAAACUGCCCGUGUAAACGGGAGGAAGGUGGGGAUGACGUCAAAUCAGCACGGCCCUUAUGUCCAGGGCUACACACGUGUUACAAUGGCUGGAACAAAGGGCAGCUACCACGCAAGUGGAUGCUAAUCUCUAAAUCCAGUCCCAGUUCGGAUCGAAGUCUGCAAUUCGACUUCGUGAAGAUGGAAUCGCUAGUAAUCGCGCAUCAGCAAUG
rnacentral:rRNA from 1 species